rnacentral:rRNA from 1 species
GGGUCAUUAGGUUGGUCGUGCCACCGGUACGUACUGGUCUCACUGAUUCCUCCUUCCUGAAGAACCGUAAUGCCAUUAAUUUGGUGUUGCGGGGAAACAGGACUGCUACUUUGAAAAAAUUAGAGUGUUUAAAGCAAGCUAACGCUUGAAUACAUUAGCAUGGAAUAAUGAAAUAGGACGAUCGAUCCUAUUUUGUUGGUUUCUAGGAUUGACGUA